rnacentral:rRNA from 1 species
GUCUACGGCCAUGCCACUCUGAACAAGCCUGAUGUCUGAUCUGGGAAGCUAAGCAGGGUCGGGCCUGGUGAGUACUUGGAUGGGAGACCACCUAGGAAUACCAGGUGCUGUAGGCA